CGAUUGUUUCAAGGUUAAAAAUUUUAUUCCCGAAAGUGAAAUUGGGAAUGUAAUAUUCCAUGAUUGUUGAGUUUUAAAAUUUUAUUACCAGGAAUUGUUCAUGCCCUGGGAAAGUAACAAUACAUUCUUAUACUUUAUUUUUACUCCCAUGGUGAGCGACGUAGAAGUUAUCUAUGAAGCACCGAUACGGACACGGACACCGGACACGACACGGACAUGGACACGGACACGGACACGUGGACACCUGUAAUGUCCAAAAUAUAGAACGUAGUACGGGUGUCGUGUCAGUGUUCGACACUAACACGGACGCGUGUCGGACACCAGACACGACAAGGGGCUGGGGUGUCCGUGCUUCAUAGGAAGUUAUAUUCUCCAUGGGAAUAUGGGAAGUUAUUUGCUAACUCAAUUAUCACUUACAUUUGUACUCAUUUUUUAAUUUUAAAAAACAUUCCUUAGAAUACUAAAAUUUAAUAAAAUGUAUUUUUAAAUGUACUCAGAAAAGAGGGCGAGCCCUGGUGCAGCGGUAAAGUUGUGCCUUGGUGACUUGUUGGUCAUGGGUUCGAAUCCGGAAACAGCCUCUUUGCAUAUGCAAGGGUAAGGCUGCGUACAACAUCCCUCCCCCAUACCUUCGCAUAACGAAGAGCCUCUGGGCAAUGGGGUACGAAGUUUUUAAAUGUACUCAGAAAAAACACUCCCAGUCAUAGUAUCCUUGAGAAUGUAAUUCUUGGGAAUGCAAUAUUAUACCUUGAAAUAAAUGCACACCCCCACCCCCUAAGAGAAAUUAAGUGGAAAAACAAACUCAGGAAACUUCAUUUUCCAGAACACAUGAAAAUAACCUUUCAUAAAACCACAGGCCAUUAAUACUUUCCAUAAACUUGUUUGUCCUCAGGUUCCCAUAGUGCUAUUUUAACUUCUAAACUUAAGCCAUGCCACCAAUUCAAGGCACUGUGUGAUUCAGUCAAAUUACUAGCCGACCUCAACAAAUUUAUCUCAUGUUAAAAUUAGAGCUAUCCAUACAAUAAUGGCAACACGAACCUAUGGAGCACAGAUGUAAACAUGGACAUGCAAGCACCAGCAAUGUCCAAAAUAUAUGACACCAGCACAAUAUAUAUAAUAACAUAAAAGUAAAAAUGAGCAUCAUUUAUAGAAGAUCUAAAUUAAGAAUCAUGAUAUAUAAAAAACUUCGUACCCCAUUGCCCAGAGGCUCUUCGCUAUGCGAAGGUAUGGGGGAGGGAUGUUGUACGCAGCCUUACCCUUGCAUAUGCAAAGAGGCUGUUUCCGGAUUCGAACCCAUGACCAACAAGUCACCAAGGCACAACUUUACCGCUGCACCAGGGCUCGCCCUCAAGAAUCAUGAUAUAUACACACAUAAAAUUAAAUGAGCAUAAAAGAUCUAAAUUGAGAAUGAAAUUGUUAAGUAUUAAUUUUCCCUGCUAUAAUGAGUCUCGCAAACAAUACUAAGAGACAUAAUUAUGCAAUUUGAACAAUUUGUUCCUCUACAAAAAGAAUAUAAAACAAGAUGAUGAACUGUUGAACUAUUUUUCAACUUCAAUCCAUCCAUCUACAACCAAAAUCAAGAUGCUCGUGCUUUUGUUUCUGAUUUAAAAAAAAAAUGGAAAUUUUGGUAUGGGCCGUAUCCAUUUUCAUGUCCAGCCAAAUGGAAGUGUCAGGUAGGUGUUAGAGUUGUAACCAGCCAUGUCCUCCACAUGUCAGCUGAAUUUUUUUACUUUUAUUUUUUUUCUACUAAAACACCAGAAUGGAGUGUUUAACACACGUGAUCAAGUGUUGGUGUCUUGGUAUCUGACACAUGUCAAACACUUGAAUACACCUUCAACAAGCAGUUUGGUGCUACUGCUAUGAGCACAUUAGUUGCAUGUAGAACUAUAGAGAUUGCAUCAACAACAUCCCCAUGCUGUAAGUUGACAAUCAACAUUUGCACAAUUAUUUUAGAUGAGGCACUAACAAUACACUUUCCAACAAAUUCUUUAUUAUUGACUAAAAUUUAUUAAAAUCACAAAAUUUUGGGUGACACUCAUUCAUUAAUUAGGGAGUGAACCAACAUUAUUUAUGAGUU
rnacentral:lncRNA from 1 species